rnacentral:rRNA from 1 species
CCUACGGGGGGCUGCAGUGGGGAAUAUUGCACAAUGGGGGAAACCCUGAUGCAGCGACGCCGCGUGAGUGAAGAAGUAAUUCGUUAUGUAAAGCUCUAUCAGCAGGGAAGAAAAUGACGGUACCUGUGUAAGAAGCCCCGGCUAACUACGUGCCAGCAGCCGCGGUAAUACGUAGGGGGCAAGCGUUAUCCGGAUUUACUGGGUGUAAAGGGAGCGUAGACGGCAGUGCAAGUCUGGAGUGAAAGGCGGGGGCUCAACCCCCGGACUGCUCUGGAAACUGUACGGCUGGAGUGCAGGAGAGGUAAGUGGAAGUCCUAGUGUAGCGGUGAAAUGCGUAGAUAUUAGGAGGAACACCAGUGGCGAAGGCGGCUUACUGGACUGUAACUGACGUUGAGGCUCGAAAGCGUGGGGAGCAAACAGGAUUAGAUACCCUAGUAGUC